rnacentral:rRNA from 1 species
AGUGAACGCUGGCGGUAGGCCUAACACAUGCAAGUCGAACGGCAGCACAGUAAGAGCUUGCUCUUACGGGUGGCGAGUGGCGGACGGGUGAGGAAUACAUCGGAAUCUACUUUUUCGUGGGGGAUAACGUAGUGAAACUUACGCUAAUACCGCAUACGACCUACGGGUGAAAGCAGGGGAUCUUCGGACCUUGCGCGAUUGAAUGAGCCGAUGUCGGAUUAGCUAGUUGGCGGGGUAAAGGCCCACCAAGGCGACGAUCCGUAGCUGGUCUGAGAGGAUGAUCAGCCACACUGGAAGUGAGACACGGUCCAGACUCCUACGGGAGGCAGCAGUGGGGAAUAUUGGACAAUGGGCGAAAGCCUGAUCCAGCCAUACCGCGUGGGUGAAGAAGGCCUUCGGGUUGUAAAGCCCUUUUGUUGGGAAAGAAAAGCAGCAGGUUAAUACGCCGCUGUUCUGACGGUACCCAAAGAAUAAGCACCGGCUAACUUCGUG